UUUUAAGAGUGAUCUAAGCAACAUAAGUAAUUUACAGCAAUGAAGCUAAUAAGUAUAACCCGUAAAAACAAAGUUUUUCACUAUAAAUCCUUUAUAUGCGUGGCGGCUAGAGUCUUCUCGUCCUCUGGCUUGAGAUGGCUUGCCACCUAUGGGUCAGAUGAUUGUCUGCCAGUAUUAAGCAAUUGGUAAUUAAAUAUUUAAUUUGUUUUCCCUAAACAGUGUAAAAAUUUUGAAUUUUUUUUCACGAACAUUAAUUGUCUCACACAACGAGUCUGUGUGCAAAAUGUCAGCUCGAUUGGAUCACGGGAAGUGGGUAAAAAAACGACCGAAAGAUUUGCACGGUCGUAAGCAAGCAAGCAAGCACGCAAGCAAGCAAGCAAGCGAACUUAAUAUAAAAGAUUUAAAAAGUGAUUGAAGGAAAACAACUACGUCCCAUGAAAACCGCAAAUAUUGCAUUUUCAUAAUUAAUGGUUUAUAAAUUCUCUGUAACCUGAGUCGAUUCGAUUAUUUUAGACUGAUCGUGGUAUAAUUACAAGUAACAUGAACAUUAAACAGAUAUAAGGUGGCUAUUGCACUCAACUGUAAACACGCGUGGAUAUUCGAGUCACGAGCAAUUGCAGGUGAAGUUAUCGUCAAGAAUCGACAGCUCGGCAUCGAAUUGCGAUGGAGAUGGGAGGGAAACCACGGACAUUUGUGAAGCGUUCGAAUUCCAGGCGUUUGGGGCAUUCCCAGAUUAUUGGGAACCACGUGUGCCAUGUGAAACUGGCCAAACAUCUCGGCGCAGGAUACUGGGAGAGAUUAGUGAGACUCGGUGACACUGCAGGAGGAGUGGCGCUGCGGUGAUCGGAGUCGUUAACGCGAGAACUGCGUCUACGCGCGGCAGUGAGAGACGCGAGCUGCUGGCAAAUCACGUGGCGAGGAUUCUCGUGAUGCCUUCGUCUGCUGCUGCCAUGGAGGAUCUGAGCGCUGUGAUGGACAUCUUUGUGUGCGAGUUCUGCGCCAACUGUGAAGGAGGCGCGGGGAGUCUCCAUGAGGAAGUACACGCUCCAGAAUCUGCUCGUGAAGCACAUGCGGCUCUACCUGGCGGGUGCAUAACCCGGAUGAAGUGCGCAAGAUCAUGGAAUCUUCACGAGACCCAAGGCGCCAGCGUGGACUUCCAAGCAUCUUAUUUGACAGACAACUGCUAUUUAGUUACUGUACAGUUUACUGAUAGACGGCCAGUUUUGUUUUAUCAUGUUUAGCUUUUUUCACACGCUGGUUUCCUGCUUUAAUUUUUACCCACCAAGCAACGUAGCAGGAGGCUGUUUCUUCCUGACCUGCUUUUUUGCUUUUACAUCCACAUGGCAGGGGAUCCGGUACCAUUUAGCAGCAGCUGCACUUUAACAACUCUGGCACCCCCCCCCUCAGCCAGUUAUGUAGACAAGCCGGAGCUUCAGCCACACCAACCUUGCCAUAAUAAUAAAACACGCCUAAUCCAGGGGCCUGCCCUGGCUCCUCCCCCCUCAACCAGU